rnacentral:rRNA from 1 species
UAGGGAAUCUUCCACAAUGGGCGAAAAGCCUGAUGGAGCAACGCCGCGUGUGUGAUGAAGGGUUUCGGCUACGUAAAACACUGUUGUAAGAGAAGAAUGACAUUGAGAGUAACUGUUCAAUGUGUGACGGUAUCUUACCAGAAAGGAACGGCUAAAUACGUGCUAG